rnacentral:rRNA from 1 species
AAACUGAAGAGUUUGAUCCUGGCUCAGAUUGAACGCUAGCGGGAUGCUUUACACAUGCAAGUCGAACGGCAGCACAGAGGAACUUGUUCCUUGGGUGGCGAGUGGCGGACGGGUGAGUAAUGUAUCGGAACGUGCCCAGUAGUGGGGGAUAACUACGCGAAAGCGUGGCUAAUACCGCAUAUUCUCUACGGAGGAAAGGGGGGGAUCAUUUGACCUCUCGCUAUUGGAGCGGCCGAUAUUAGAUUAGCUAGUUGGUGGGGUAACGGCCUACCAAGGCAGUGAUCUAUAGCUGGUUUGAGAGGACGACCAGCCACACUGGGACUGAGACACGGCCCAGACUCCUACGGGAGGCAGCAGUGGGGAAUUUUCGACAAUGGGGGAACCCUGAUCGAGCCAUCCCGCGUGUGGGACGAAGGCCUUCGGGUUGUAAACCACUUUUCUCAACGAAGAAAAGUCUUAGGCUAAUACCUUAAGAUGCUGACGGUAGUUGAGGAAUAAGCACCGGCUAACUAUGUGCCAGCAGCCGCGGUAAUACAUAGGGUGCAAGCGUUAAUCGGAAUUACUGGGCGUAAAGGGUGCGCAGGCGGCUUGGAAAGAACGGUGUGAAAUCCCGGGGCUCAACCUCGGAACUGCACUAUUAACUAUCAAGCUAGAGUAUGUCAGAGGGGGGUGGAAUUCCGCGUGUAGCAGUGAAAUGCGUAGAUAUGCGGAGGAACACCAAUGGCGAAGGCAGCCCCCUGGGAUAAUACUGACGCUCAGGCACGAAAGCGUGGGUAGCAAACAGGAUUAGAUACCCUGGUAGUCCACGCCCUAAACGAUGUCAACUAGCUGUUGGGCCGGUUACGGCUUAGUAGCGCAGCUAACGCGUGAAGUUGACCGCCUGGGGACUACGGUCGCAAGACUAAAACUCAAAGGAAUUGACGGGGACCCGCACAAGCGGUGGAUGAUGUGGAUUAAUUCGAUGCAACGCGAAAAACCUUACCUACCCUUGACAUGCCUGGAAGCUUUAAGAGAUUAAAGUGUGCUCGCAAGAGAACCGGUGCACAGGUGCUGCAUGGCUGUCGUCAGCUCGUGUCGUGAGAUGUUGGGUUAAGUCCCGCAACGAGCGCAACCCUUGUCAUUAGUUGCUACGUAAGAGCACUCUAGUGAGACUGCCGGUGACAAACCGGAGGAAGGUGGGGAUGACGUCAAGUCCUCAUGGCCCUUAUGGGUAGGGCUUCACACGUCAUACAAUGGUCGGGACAGAGGGUUGCCAAGCCGCGAGGUGGAGCUAAUCUCUUAAACCCGAUCGUAGUCCGGAUUGCAGGCUGCAACUCGCCUGCAUGAAGUCGGAAUCGCUAGUAAUCGCAGAUCAGAAUGCUGCGGUGAAUACGUUCCCGGGUCUUGUACACACCGCCCGUCACACCAUGGGAGUGGGUUUUACCAGAAGUAGUUAGUCUAACCGCAAGGGGGACGAUUACCACGGUAGGAUUCAUGACUGGGGUGAAGUCGUAACAAGGUAGCCGUACCGGAAGGUGCGGCUGGAUCACCUCCUUU